UACGUAGGUGGCGAACGUUAUCCGGAAUUAUUGGGCGUAAAGGAUGCGUAGAUGGUGUAGUAAGUUAUCGGUGGCAAAUCGAGGCUCAACCUCGUGGAAGCCGGUAAUACUGCUAUGCUAGAGGAUAGGAGAGGUUAACGGAACUCCCUGUGGAGCGGUGAAAUGCGUAGAUAUAGGGAAGAACACCAAUCAGGCGAAGGCAGUUAACUAUUCUAUUCCUGACAUUGAGGCAUGAAAGCGUGGGGAGCAAAACGG
rnacentral:rRNA from 1 species